UACGAAGGGUGCUAGCGUUGUUCGGAAUUACUGGGCGUAAAGCGCGCGUAGGCGGCCAUUCAAGUCAGAGGUGAAAGCCCGGAGCUUAACUCCGGAACUGCCUUUGAAACUGUAUGGCUUGAGUGUUGGAGGGGAUAGCGGAAUUGCUAAUGUAGAGGUGAAAUUCGUAGAUAUUAGGAAGAACACCGGUGGCGAAGGCGGCUCACUGGCUCAUUUCUGACGCUCAGGCGCGACAGCGUGGGGAUCAAACAGG
rnacentral:rRNA from 1 species